ACACAAACACAAUUUACAGACUCCAUUAGGAAAUCAUGGCAUGCAUGCCGUGUUACAGACAUAUUCUACCUUGGAAGCAUUGCUUUUAAGGGAGUACACCUCCAUAAUAUGGCUCCAUACUACAGUCAAUGAAGUGCCUUUGGCUGUGUGCAUGCUGCAGAUCUCAUGAUGCCUAACAUUGUGAACAUGGGACUGCUGCGGGUCUAUAAAGACUAUACAUACUGUAGAAAAAAUAUAACAAAGUCAUGUUUUUAAAUAGUGUUUCAUUCAGUGGUUUCUUUUUGGCAUCAUGAGCAGGGAUAGUUUAUAGGAAAGGCAAGGGAAUAUAGCCCAAGUUCUCCAUUAUCUUCGUAUGUAUUGUAAAAUUUCAUGCCAUUUCAGGUACAGUCUCUUGGCUACUCUCUCUGCUCUCCUUUAACACUUCCUCUGAGGCUUUUUGUACUUUUGUGCAACAAUCAUCAACAAUUUCCAGUCUUGGCCAACUGCGACACUUUUGACCUCUAUGAGGAACCUCCAUAAUACCUUCUUUUACUGGUCUCAUACUCAUAUUUAAUUUGACAUCAGAGCUGUAACACCUCUCUGUUUCUUCCCUGAGGUUUAUUCUCUCUCCCAUUUGGGGUAAGGAUGAAAUACAGGGAUCAGAAUGUAUGCUCACAAGAGAAAGAGAGAGGUCAUUAAUGGGUGGACACAAAAGCUGUGCCCUUAUUAAUAUAUUCCUUCUGUUGUCCAGCUCUCCAGAACUAUCACUCCAUGUAUUCUGGGCUUGAACUUUCAUCCUACUAUUAGGAGAUAUACCCAUGUUACCGUGUCCCUGUGUGACUGUACUGAUUUGGAGGAGCCGUCUUGUUUCCAUGUCCCGGUUUUCAUAGAGAAGGGUAUUAGCACAUAUGAAUACAAACAGACCAAAUCCCAUGAUGACAGGACCAAUCAGCUUCAGUCUCUCUACAGAUUGCUGGGAUUGUGAAGAAGGCAUUGAUGGCAAUUGGCUGUUGGAUUUGUGAGGCCAGUAGCCAAUGACAGCCACAGUUAGGCCAGUUAGUACAAUAAAUAUACCUACAAAUACAAAAGCUCCAGGAAGUGAGCGAAGACGUAGUUUCCCUGUAGGAGGUGUGUCAAGUGGUUGAGGAGAAGAUCGGCAUCUUCUAAACAGACUUAAAAACCGAGGGAAGAAGGGCAUUUCCAGAUGGUGCGUCUUAUAUUAAUAUGUAGUUGGUGCCAAUCCAAUUUGGUUGAAACACCUCAAUAAAGAACAGAUAUUGCUCUAUAUAGACCAACUUGGAAGUUAAAAUUGGAAUAGUAAUGGAAACCAAACACACUGUCUAACCACCAGCCAUUUAUCUUUAGGAAUAGAACAUUCCCACAUAUGUGGGUCAGCUGUGUCCAGGGAAAUGCCAUAAAAAGGACCUUAUAUGGCGUUAUGGAGAGAGAGGAUUUCAGAACUGGCAUUUGAAUGACAUAGAUGCAUGUGGAUUGAAGCUUCAAUAUGGAAGAAUGUGAAGCUGGAAUUGAGAGCUACCAAUGCUGUGGGAUCACAGUCAGAAACAGUGUCAGGCCACAUACAUAUGGCCUGAGACAGCAAUACUGUAAUCUCAGAAAACCAAACUAAGUGUAUUACACUAGAUGGACAGUGCUGUAUGUCCCUCUAUUGUUUGCUCUCUUGAAUGAUUGUGUAACAAUCAUUUAUAUACUCAGAGGAAGAACCCAAACCUGUGAUUGAUAACCGUAAGAAAAUGCCCAUUUCUAUACCCGUCAUAUAUCACUGCUUUAUAGUCCUGAAUAAUUAAUAGCCACCAACUUAAGGAAGGAACAUUUAGUCUUGGCAGAGCACGCUUCUGUUACUGUCUACAUAUUCAGAAACAUGCAAAUACACAAACUUGUACAUACCUUUUGUGUGCGCUACAUGAAUCUAUUCCAGAUUGUGUGCCAGCAGCUGGUUCUCCUGUAAAGUACUACACUAAAUAUUAUUUAAAAAUU